rnacentral:rRNA from 1 species
CUACGGGCUGCUGCAGUCGAGAAUAGUCUACAAUGGGGGAAACCCUGAUAGUGCGACGCCGCGUGAACGAAGAAGCUUUUCGGAGUGUAAAGCUCUUUUCUGUAUGAGCAAUGCUUUAUUGUUUAAGAGAUAAUAGAGAGAGAUAUUAGUACAGGAAUAAGCCACGGCUAACUCCGUGCCAGCAGCCGCGGUAAUACGGGGGUGGCAAGCGUUGUCCGGAAUUACUAGGCGUAAAGGGCAGGUAGGCGGAUAUUCAAGUCAGGCGUUAAAGGCAUCAGCUCAACUGGUGUACGGCGUUUGAAACGGGAUAUCUAGAGUCAGGUAGAGGUAGAUGGAAUUCCUAGUGUAGCGGUGGAAUGCGCAGAGAUUAGGAAGAACACCAAAGGCGAAGGCAAUCUACUGGGCCAUGACUGACGCUAAACUGCGAAGGUGUGGGUAUCAAACAGGAUUAGAUACCCCCGUAGUC